GGGCACAUGGUGUAGUUGGUUAUCACAUCCGCUUAGCACUUGGUGGCAUCGCACCGGUGAAUGCGGGGGGUGCUGGGUUCAAUUCCCAGUGUGUCCA